rnacentral:lncRNA from 1 species
CUUCCAUGAUCACAGUUCCAGCACCAGGGCCGUGAUAACCAGCUUUCUACUGCAAAGGACAUCCAGCCUACCUGCCCUACCCAGCUACUAUCUUCAUCCUGUAAGAGCCUCAUAGAAGUUCCGUGAGCACAGAAGCACCCAGUCAUCAUUAAAUAUUUGCCAAGCUGUUAAAAUAAGUCCUCACAGUGUCACAGUGGGUUUGGGCACUUAGCAACCAUCACAGCUUCUAUACAGAUGCUCCAGGGCAGCAGUCACCUCCUCCAUAUGCGCUACAUGAGGAAAAAGCUGCAGGAAGAAAGAAUGAAUGAAAACAGUGCAAGUGUGAAGGGAAGGGGAAAGUUUCUUCUACUCCGUGGGCUCUGAGGAUCAGGCAGCACUCCAUCAUCAUCUUGGGAAGGUGAGGUAUGGAAAGUGGCAAGAUCACAUUCAAGUCCAUAGACUGUGUCCAGAGAUGCCCAGGCCCUUCUUGCUCCUCUUCAUGCUCUUGGACUUCUAACUACCCAU